rnacentral:pre_miRNA from 1 species
AAUAAACCAAUUUUUUAUUUUUUACCUAUAAUUUUUUAUUAUUCAUCUUAUUUAAAAAAUUGUGAUUGAUAUUUUUGUUUUUAUUAGAUGAUAAAUUAUGAAUAGUACUUUACGUGUAACUAAUUUUUUUCUAAUUUUCUAAAAAUUUUUCAAAUAAGACAGACGGUUAAAUGUUGGACACGGAAACCGGAG